CCAAGAUAAGAUUAAAUAAUCUAAUGAGACCCAAUUAUUUUAUUGGAGCUUGAAAGGUGCAACAAAAAAAACUCAUUAAAAGGCAAGAUAAGCCAUGAUUAUAUAAUUUUGGCGGGUCGACCCGGCAAGUUAUUGAGGAUACCAAACAUCAAAUUAAGUCCAACUAUUUAGUUAAUCAUGGCUUAUCUUGGCAACCAAACGGGGCCUAAGU
rnacentral:lncRNA from 1 species